GAACCGGAGCUAAUACCGGAUAAUAUAUUGAACCGCAUGGUUCAAUAGUGAAAGACGGUUUUGCUGUCACUUAUAGAUGGAUCCGCGCAGCAUUAGCUAGUUGGUAAGGUAACGGCUUACCAAGGCAACGAUGCGUAGCCGACCUGAGAGGGUGAUCGGCCACACUGGAACUGAGACACGGUCCAG
rnacentral:rRNA from 1 species